rnacentral:piRNA from 1 species
GGUAAGUGUCGUACAUUUAGCACCCG